rnacentral:tRNA from 1 species
GCCGAGGUGGUGGAAUUGGUAGACACGCUAGCUUGAGGUGCUAGUGGGUUAACACCCGUGGGGGUUCGAGUCCCCCCUUCGGCA